UACGAAGGGUGCAAGCGUUGUCCGGAAUUAUUGGGCGUAAAGAGCUCGUAGGCGGUUUGUCGCGUCUGCUGUGAAAACUCAGGGCUUAACUCUGAGCUUGCAGUGGGUACGGGCAGACUAGAGUGCGGUAGGGGGAGACUGGAAUUCCUGGUGUAGCGGUGAAAUGCGCAGAUAUCAGGAGGAACACCGGUGGCGAAGGCGGGUCUCUGGGCCGUAACUGACGCUGGAGGAGCGAAAGCAUGGGGAGCGAACAGG
rnacentral:rRNA from 1 species